UACGUAGGGUGCGAGCGUUGUCCGGAAUUACUGGGCGUAAAGAGCUCGUAGGUGGUUUGUCGCGUUGUUCGUGAAAACCGGGGGCUUAACCCUCGGCGUGCGGGCGAUACGGGCAGACUUGAGUACUGCAGGGGAGACUGGAAUUCCUGGUGUAGCGGUGGAAUGCGCAGAUAUCAGGAGGAACACCGGUGGCGAAGGCGGGUCUCUGGGUAGUAACUGACGCUGAGGAGCGAAAGCGUGGGGAGCGAACAGG
rnacentral:rRNA from 1 species